GAUGAACGCUAGCGGCAGGCUUAAUACAUGCAAGUCGAACGGUAAGGUCUCUUCGGAGAUACACGAGUGGCGCACGGGUGCGUAACGCGUAUGCAACCUACCUUUAACUGGGAAAUAGCCCCGAGAAAUCGGGAUUAAUGUCCCAUAUUAUUCUUUGAAUACCUAUUCGAGGAAUGAAAGCUCCGGCGGUUAUUGAUGGGCAUGCGUGACAUUAGCGAGUUGGGGAGGUAACGGCUCACCAAGGCAACGAUGUCUAGGGGUCCUGAGAGGGUUAACCCCCACACUGGGACUGAGACACGGACCAGACUCCUACGGGAGGCAGCAGUAAGGAAUAUUGGGCAAUGGACGCAAGUCUGACCCAGCCAUGCCGCGUGAAGGAUGAAUGUCCUAUGGAUUGUAAACUUCUUUUAUGCAGGAAAAAUAUCCCGGUCGUGAACCGGGACUGAUGGUACUGUAUGAAUAAGCAUCGGCUAACUCCGUGCCAGCAGCCGCGGUAA
rnacentral:rRNA from 1 species